CCUGGAUAUCCCAGCCAGGAAUAAUGGAAUAGGACUGUAGUUCUAUUUUGUGGUUUUUCUUCUCUUAACUUGGUGCCAUGAUUAAGAGGGACAGUCAGGGGCUAGAGGUGAAAUUAUUGGAUCAAGAAUGUUUUCAUUAAUCAGGAACAAAAGUCAGACUUUGGAAGACUAUCAGAUACCAUCGUAGUUCGGACCAUAAGCGAUGCCAACUAGCGAUCCGGCAGCGUUAUUCUCAUGACCCGCCAGGCAGCCUCCAGUGAAAUAAAGGUCUUUUGGGGAU